AAGACAGUGAGGAAGGCAACAGACAACUUGUUCAAGAAAUUUAACUCUGGAGGGGAGAAGGGGCAAGGAAGUAGACAGGGGAGGAUGUGAGGUUGAAAGAUGGUAUUUUAUUUUUCACACUGGAGAGACUAGAACUUGGUUAUAGCCUGAUAAGGCGAGCCAGCAGACAGGAAAGUUUUUGAAAAAGGAGGGAGCCCGAGAAAGUAGGAAGCGAUGGGAGGGAGGUUCCAGAAGAAGAAACUGGCCUUAAAUUUGAUAACAGCUCUUCCUCUGGUACAGAAGAAAGUGGUCAAGGAGGCCGAGGUGGAAGGAUAGGUUGAGACCAGGAGUUUGAGACCAGCCUGCACCAUAGCAAGACACUGUCUCUACACAAGCAAAAUACAAACUGGUUUUGCGUGAUGUAGUUCCAGCUACUUGGGAGGCUGAGGUGUGAACCCUGAAAAUCUGAGACAGGUUCCAGUAAACUUAGAAAGUUUAUUUUGCCAAGGUUGAGGAUGCACACCCGUGACACAGCCUCUUAAACUGAACCUUGGGAGUUCCUGACACCGUGUGGCCAAGGUGGUAGGGGGAGAGUUUGGUUUUCUACAUUUUAGGAGACAUGAGACCUCAAUCAAUAUGUGUAAGAUGAACAUCGGUUCAGUCUGGAAAGGCUGGACAAAGCGGGACAACUCCAAGCAAGGAGGGGCUUCAAGUCACAGUAGAUGGGAGACAAACAGUUGCAUUCUUCUGAGUUUCUGAUGAGCCUCUCCAAAGGAGGCAAUCAGAUAUGCAUCUAUCUCAGUGAGCAGAGGGGUGACUUUGAAUAGAAUAGGGGGCAGGUUGCCCUGCUUGACUUUUCCCUUUAGCUUAGUCAUUUUGGGACCACGAGAUGUAUUUUC
rnacentral:lncRNA from 1 species